rnacentral:rRNA from 1 species
CCUACGGGAGGCAGCAGUGAGGAAUAUUUGUCAAUGGCCGGAAGGCUGAACCAGCCAAGCCGCGUGAAGGACGACGGUGCCAAGCAUUGUAAACUUCUUUUGUCAAGGUACAAAAUCAGGCUCGAGAGCCUGACCGAGGGUACUUGAAGAAAAAGCAUCGGCUAACUCCGUGCCAGCAGCCGCGGUAAUACGGAGGCUGAGAGCGUUAUCCGGAUUUACUGGGUGUAAAGGGUGCGUAGGCGGCUUUGCAAGUCAGAAGUGAAAUCCAUGGGCUUAACCCAUGAACUGCUUUUGAAACUGCAGAGCUUGAGUGGAGGAGAGGUAGGCGGAAUGCCCGGUGUAGCGGUGAAAUGCGUAGAGAUCGGGAGGAACACCAGUGGCGAAGGCGGCCUGCUGGGCUCUAACUGACGCUGAGGCACGAAAGCGUGGGUAGCAAACAGGAUUAGAUACCCGUGUAGUC